GUUUCCCUCCUGCAGCAGAGCCAGCAGAAGAGAGUUUGUUCUGUUUGACGCUGCUAGGUUAUAGUUUGAUGCCUUAGCUCAAACUCAAGCCUAAAAAUCUUGUUACUGCACUGGCAAUUGUGCUGGAUUGGCUGGCGUACACACCUGUCUUUACACCUGCUGAGCCUGAACAGGGAAUGCAGCCUCAAGAAGAGCAGCUUGCUGGGGAGGAUGAGUUAAACUGCUGGAGCAAGAGUUGGUGGAACUCUUCUGAGAACCUUUACCUUCGUUAUUAGCAUGGCAGCUUUUCCAGUGAUCUGCAAUGAACAGCUCUGCUGUUGACACCAUCUGGAUCUUGAUCUUCUGUUUUAUCGGUUGUUGGUGUUUGCCUGGGACAGUCCAUCCUGUUAGCAGGCGGUGAUCCUGUUGCGGAGGAGAGAUGUGAGGUGUGCUGACUCAUGAAAGCAGGUGCUGGCUGCGUCAGCAGGAGGUCAAAGUCCACUGCGAGCGGUGGCCGAUACAAACCCCUGCGUAAGGCAGGCUGGUCUCCCUGUGCCUCAGCUCCUAACAGCAGGGCAGUUCUUGAGGAGUGCCUUGGAAGGUGUUUGUGUGGAUUUCUUGGUGGUCCUUGUGACGAUCUUAGGAAGCAGAAGGAGAUCCAGAACUGUUUGAAAGCCCAAAGCCAAGAUUCUUUGAAAUCCUAACCAAGUAAUGAUGAGAGACUGGGCUGAGGCCGACCUGCCUCCUGUGCUGCUUCUCAUAUAUGUCCAAGAAGCUGCCUCCAGUUUAUGUGAUUGCACUCCAGUAAACAAUUUUCAUGCAGCUAUGGGCAGCACGUGUUACUCAUGCCUGUGUGAACACUUCGGCGUGUUUACAGCAGGGGACGUUCCUCAGACAUAGUGCUGUUAAACAAUGGAUGUACCCACCAGAGGGAAGUCCCACUGGUUACAGCUUGCUCAGAACACUUUGAAGGGUGGUCACACCAUCCUUCUUCAGGCACUCGAGAGGAUUGACUUACAAAUAGGAGCAAAAUAAAAUUAGAUGGCUUAAGUGGCUGCAGCCCCAGCUGUGUCCUCGCUGCCCUGUUCCCAGAAGGGGUCACCCCUGCAGCAGGGCUGCCUGUAGACGCAACUCCUGAGUUGCUGUAGUUACAACCCAAUCUUGAGGGCAUUUAUACUCAUCUGGUUCCUCCAUGAAACAGUUCAGAAAGCCUAACCAGAAUAAAAAUGUACGCUUUUGCAUCUUAAUAGUUGUCUCUGGGUUUAAUUUCUCCAACAAGCCCAGAGAAGUAGCAGUGCUGCUGCGAGAGCAGCGGCAGACAGGCACAGGGAGGGAGGACCUUCCCUUUUGGGAGCAGCUCUCCGUUACGUCAGUUUUGCUGCCUCACAAAACUGUGCCCUAUAGUUAUUUUUGGUGCUGAGCUCCAUUAAUUUUCUGGAGAGUAAAUGAAGGAUCAACGUCGUGUGUUUAUGGAAUUUGGAAGUUAAGUUUUUAGGGAAAAAGAAUGUAAUUCAGCAUGUGCUGUUAUGUGGAAGUGCUUGAAUUGUUAGGGAUGGGGAAGAUAAGUGUCCGUGCUAUCCAUUUCUACAAUUCAGUUACGAGUUAAAUCCUCUUUUUUUUGUCUGCUUUUUAAGACCUCUAACCCGAAGUCUACUAUCCAGCUGUCUCUAGAGGCAGAAGUCUUUAAAGAGACCAGCUUUGUAGCUAUAAAUAAUGCACAUGGCAGAGUACAAAAAUGGAGUCAAGGAGAGGCUCCACCUUACCUGAACGCAGUUAUGAAUGUUGGCAUUGUGAGCUGCAGCCCUGGUCACACAGAAGGCUGCAAGGAGCACUGUGACCCCAUCAUCCAUCCUGACUAAACUACUUCUGCCUCCAAGACCCAAGCCUUCCUCCGUCAUUUGAACAUCAACUGGUAGAAUCAUGUCUGCGUUGGACUGAAACGCAUCAGGGGCCAAACAUGGCAAGGGUUCGAGUUGUAUGGUUAUAAACAUACUUGGAAUGAAACAUCUGCUUGGGCGCUCUGUUAGGUUGGAUGUGUCAGAAUAGGGAGAGUUCUGCAAGUCUGAACCCUUGCUAUAAAUGAAAACACUGUGGCAAAAAAAUGUAAAUGCAUGCCACACAUACUUUGUAUGAGAGCCCUUCCCAAUAUCUAUAAAUAUGGUAAUUUUGAUGUUUCCCAGCUUUAGGGUUUAAAAAGGAGACAGGCACAAGAAAUACCACAAAGCCAGCAUUUUUCUUUUCAUGGAUCAAUUGUAUGGUUUCAGUUUUAACUUACCUGAAAACACUGGAAAUUAAAUGUAGUGUCUUAAAGAGGAUUGCCUUUGAAAGGGAAUUAUUUGUUCUUGUAAAAUCGCUAGAAUAGUUUCUCUGUUUAACUGCAUUUUCAUAUGAAUUCAAAACUCCUCUCGGGUCAGGCUCUCCAGGAAAAUUUUCUCAUGGUUUCUGUGGCAGCUGAUUCACUCCUUCACUGCCUUAAUUUUGCAGCUUUAACUGGCAGGUUCUCUGAAAAGCCAUCUACUUCAAAGCUUUGUAAAAUAAAGCUUUGAAUAAAUUACUGAGUGAGAAAUUAUGCUGGCUGUGUCCCACUUUGUGCCUGGAUGUGGGAAUAUUUGGCAGUGGGUGUGGAAUUCCAAGGAAAAUUACCUCUUCCCUUUGCCUGAGACCCUGCCUGCUUGCCAAACUCAAAGAGCAGCAAGAAGGAAAACUACACGGAAGUCUCGGGUUUCCCUUUCCCACAGCUCCGGAGGACGCAACCUGAACAACUGUUGAAUAUUAAUAUGCCGUGUAACUGGUGCAGCGUUGUGCCAGAAGUGUGGCUUCCAAGGACUACAUCUCCCAGCGUGGCAGGGAGGAGACAGCAGCCCAGCACAGCAUGCUGGAACUCGUAGUGCUGGUAGAACAUCCUUGCAUAAGCGGGGCAAUGACCCCCAACAGACGUGUGUGGGGGUACCCCCUCCCAGUGCUCUGCCUGCUGGGGUGACGGGCUCUGGGCUGUGUUAUUUUGGACUUUAUUUAAUCUGUUUUUUUGAUAGUUAAUAUAAAAUUGACAACGUGAGGCUUCUAAGCAGCAAUAAUUGCUUUGUCUUUCACAAAGACGCAACCCACUGCCCUCUGUAUUUAGGUUUCUGGUAGAAGUGUGUGCAGAGCGGAUCUGUCCAUAAUUGUUUGCUUUUCUUCAGAGCCUUUUGAAGUUUAUGUCUCCAAGCCAGUUCCUUAUAUUAAAAAUAAAUUCUUCCAAGCCACCAAUGAAAUGUCAACUGUGAUCACAGUCUGACUCCUCACUUGAAGACUCAUCUCCUAAGCAAUGCGAGGCCACUCUGUGAGUCAGCAUUUGAAAGGACCGUUAUUCCAGAGAGCACGGGUAAACCCCAAAGUUCAGAGCUGCUUUCUGUAAUGGUUUCACUGCAUUUAAAAUUACUUCGCACUGUGCUCAAAGAAAUGCGCAUGGUGGGGCCAAUUUGGCACUGAAGUUGUGAGGUUUCGAGCACCUCAAAUCUUGAAGGAAAUCCUCUAUAUUAAUGUAGGAGUCAGAUUUCUGGUAGGAAAAGUUUUCCCUCCUGUGUAGUAGGGUGGGGUGAGAGGCUGUGUGGGAAGCAUAGACUUUCUGCUGUGUUCUGAUGAAAUAAAGCUUGAGGACUGUAAAGUGUCCGGGCAGGGGCUCUGUCUUUUGUUUAGUGCCCAGCAGAACAGAGUCAGAGCUCAACAGAGCUUUCUGGACACAAGAACUUUGUUAAUUUUUCUUACUUUAUUAAAACACUAUGAAAAUACAAAUGGGCGUUAAAGCUCCAAAUGCAAGGAAAUGCAAGUUUUAAGAUAGUCUGCACCAGCCUGUUUAUGCUUUUUGUACAUAUUAAUUAUAAUAGUCUUUAAUUAUACAAUCUCAUUUUCUUUUGUUGCUCUUCCUGGUGUUUGCUGUGGCACAUACUGAGUAUUUGGGGGUCAUUAAUCACACCCGAGCUAUGAAUAACUCUGAGCAGGACUCCAACCUAUGUGCGCCCAUCUCAGGUCUUCCCAACCUCUCUCUGUGCCCUUUUCCUACCCUCCCAGUGAAUUUCUGCCUUGGUGCUUCACGGCUCCGAGCUCAAAUCAAGCCCCUUUGGCUUGGUGCUGGUGGGGUAUUGGAGAAUCCUCAGGCCCAUUGUGCUCUACCUUGGCAUCGAGGAGCCAGUGGGAGCUGCUGGCUGGAGAGGUGAUCCAAGGGAAAAGUCCUCCUUGCCUGUCCUGUGGCAGACGGUGCUCAGAGCCAGGACAGGAUCAUAUUGCUGCUACCGAAAGUGUUCCAUGGGGAUUAUCUAAGGUUGGGAAGAGUGUGAAAUACACUACAAAUUUUGACAAGUUUCCAGUUGUCUUCCCCCCUUCUCUUGGAAGGCUCAACCCAGUGCCUUCCCGAGGGCUCUCCCUGCCCGCAGUUGGGAAGCCAGCAGUUCAUGGUGUCCCUGCUCCACAUCCCUGUCCAACUGCCCUCCUGUUUGCCACUAUUCCUGCAGCCCCUGCAUGCUGCAGCCUGGUGACGGGGUGGUUGAUCCGCUUGUUUGCGGUAAACUGAGGCGAUGCUGCCCACUCUUAGCCCCCCCCAC